GAGAAGAGAGAGUUUCUUGAGCUUGCCGAAGUCGUGUGGGAUCGAUCCAGUGAGCUGAUUCAUCGAAAGAUCUAUCUCUACCAGGCCCAGAGCUCCGAUCGUCCCGUCGAUGAUGAUGGAAUCGGAUAAGUUGUUCUUGUACAGGUACAAGUAUUGCAGAUUCGGUAGGCCCCAGAUUCCAGCGGGAAUCGCUCCGGUGAGCGAGUUUUGCGACAAGUCCAGCUGAGUCAACCCUUUGAGCUGCGCGAACGAGGCCGGUAUCUCGCCUUGGAGAUUGGCACUGGUCAUCCACAGGAUGGUCAGCUUAGUCAAGUUGGCGAACUCCGAUGGAAUCCUCAUUGGAGCAAAGGAGUUGUAUGCCAGCCCAAGCUGUUGGAGGCGGGACAGGUUGCCGAUCUCGGCGGGGAAGCUUCCAUCGAAAAGAUUGCUGUUGAGCACCAGUUCCUGGACCGCGGUGAUCCGGCCGAUGGAGGGAGGGAUGUCGCCGGAGAAGUUGUUGUAGGAGAGGUCGAGGUGUGUGAUCAGCGGGGAGAGGCGGUCGACGUCGGUGGGAAUCGCGCCGACGAAGCGGUUCUGGGAGAGGUCGAGGUACCGGAGGCUGGAGCAGUUGUAAAGGGAGGUGGGGAAGGGGCCGGGGAUGUUGUUGUAGCUGACAUCGAGGCGGGUGAGGUUCUUGAGGCCGCAGAGUGAGGCGGGGAUCGGCCGGGAGAUCUUUGGCGCGUCCUGCCCGGAGAGCGUGAUGUUGACGACGGAGCCAUCGUCGGCGCAGCCCACGCCCGGCCAGUCGCAGUAGGAGAAGGAGGAGGAGGUGUUGGUGGUGUCGACGUUCCACGAGUCCAGAGCGGGUUCGCCUCCCCACUCUCGCUUGAUCCGCAGGAGGAUCUGCUGCUGUUCGUUGUUCCAUGGUGUUUUCGAUGCAACCACGGGAGCGAAGUAGAGGAAUAGAGAGACGAGGGUGAGAGAGGUCCCACGCCGGACUUUUGCUCCCAUCCCCUUCUUUAUGUGUUUUCCCAAAAGAUGAGAACUUAAAUUAAACUGAAACACAACCUCAUUUCUGGCCUUCCAGCUUAACCAGAACACAUAUAUAAUCAUCAAUCAUAGCUCUCAGAACACAUUGGUUGACGCCAACAUCUUCCCUAAGUCAGUCCCCCUACAGCCAAGAAUCCAUAAAAGUUAGAUUCAAAUAAGGAUCAUACCUCUUUAAUAAAAGUGAUAAAAAUAAUAGAAGAUAAGAAUAAUUAUUGAAAAAUUUCCUAAUAUAGUUGAGGAAAUCUUAUCUUCUAUCAUGUCUGUCCUCGCAAAAUGAUGCUUCAGUCAAGGAUAUCAAUCUUGGAUCGAUGUAAAUAAUGAUUUACGAAUGAGAGGCUUCGUAAAUAGAGCAAGAGCAUAUCGCUGCUGUUGUUACGAUUGUUGUUGUUGUGAGGGCAUAGGCGUUCCUUUCGUUCUUCUUAAGUCCGUCGACUAUUGAUAGAUCAACAAAGACUAUCGCGGUAAAAAAUAUGAGGAUUGAUCGUGGAGUCUCUUAGGAAUUUGACUACAGCGGCGUUGGGUUUUAUUUUUCUCAGCGACGUUACUGGUCGAAAGAUACCAUGAUAAAAAUAAUAGAAGAUAAGAAUAAUUAUUGAAGAAGUUUUAUUGAAGAAGCUUUAUAACUUUAGCUUAAAUACAUUAAGCUGCCAUUCUCCUAUUUAUACACAUAGUUGAGAAAAUCUUAUUUUCUAUCAAGAACAUUGAAAAUAGUAUGAAAGUUUCCAUAAUACUAGCACGAGUGAAAGUUUAAAACGGGUAGAUGGUAAAGCAAUAACUUCCAGCAAAAGCAAAGAACAUAGAAAAUAGUAUGAAAGUUUCCAUAAUAUUUUCCGAUCAAUAAUAGAUGUGGGGGAAUAGCCAACGACCGAGAGCUCAAGAAGCAUAAGGUGAACUAGUUAACGAUUGUGACUUGAAAUCGAAAUCCUACAUAUCCAGAGACGUAGGUAUAAAAGUCAAUAGCCGAAGGUUGGCUAGCUAAAACAUUAUGACUUGGUCUACAUGGGUGGCUACACAUGUGGCUGACAUGACGCAAGUAGAUACACAAGAAGACUGCGGACUUCGCUUCAAGGACUCUCACUUGUCACGGCCUCAUUUAUUUCCCGCACCCCCAAUUUGACCAACCUCGCCUCGUGCAUGAGACUGGAGAGAAAAAGGAUACCUAAGAAAAGUCAUUGUGUUGUUGUUACCUUACUCAAAAGCUUUCAUCACUAAAGAUGGAGACCUUAUGGGCUCAUUGUUGCAAUUGGUGAGUAUUUUUAAUUCUUAUUCAUCCCUAAAUAAAUUAUAUAUUGGAUACGAUUUGAUGCUCCAAUGUACGUUCCCUUCUGACCAUCGACCUUCUUCUACUCUGCUCUCUCCCCUCAAACAUUGCAUGCCAUGAUGUGGUCGUCGUGGUCGCCGCCAUGAGAUGGCUUCUGUCGUCGACUACCCGUGUUUGCUCGUAUGAGCGGCGCCGCCACGUCUUGUUCCGCAAUGGGACUGUAACCGACUCCAGGAGGCCGAUGGCACCGCAGCAAGAUAUGCAGCACCUCCUUCAUGGAAGGCCUCCUCGAAGGCAACGUCUCCGUGCAGAGGAGACCCAACUUAAACACCGUCGUCAUGUCGUCCAUGUAGGGGGAGUCCCUUAUGGCCGUGUCUAUAGCAUCGCUCAGCUCUGCCUCCUCUCGAAGCUGUUGCCACGCCCACUCUGCCAGGUUGCAUUGCUCGCCGUCAUUGUUUGCCUCUCUUCCGGUGGUCAGCUCCAGAAGAACCACCCCGAAGCUGUACACAUCCACCUUCUCGUUCAGCCUUCUGGAAUACCCACACUCUGUGUACGGAAAACCCAGCGAUCAGCAGUCUCGCACAGUAAUGGUGGUAAAUCGUGAUGCCAUCCUCACCUGGAGCGAUGUAGCCGAAGGACCCGGCAAUGACGGACACCGUGUCGGGUUCGCCGGGCUUGACCAGCAUCCGAGCCAGGCCGAAGUCGGCGACCCGAGCGUUGAACUCGGAAUCCAGCAGGAUGUUGCUGGACUUCACGUCCCGGUGUAUGAUCGGCGGCGAGCAGUCGUGGUGCAUGUAGCACAACCCCCGGGCCGCCCCCACAGCGAUCUCCAGCCUCGUGGGCCAAUCGAGCUGCUCGUCCCGCGAUCGGUCUUCGCCGCCGAACCAUGCCCGCUUCCUGUGCAGCCACCGGUCGAGGCUCCCGUUCUCCAUAUACUCGUACACCAGAAGCUUGGUGUCGGCGCCGGAGAUGCAGCAGAGCAGCUUGACGAUGUUCUUGUGCCUGAUGGAUCCCAGGAUCUGCACCUCCGACUGGAAUUGCUUCUCCAGCCUGCUGUCGAGAUUCCUACCGUUCCAAAUCUUUUUGACGGCGACGACGCCACGGUCGCCGAGGUCGAUCUUGAAGACCUUGCCGGCCCCACCGCCGCCGACCACGUUGUCAUCCCUGAUGCCACGUAGGAUGCUGGACUCCGAAAUAUCCAACGACUGGAAAGAGGUCAGCUUCCACGCGGCGAGAUCUCCACCGUUCCUUUUCUUCUUGAGGUCCCCGUAUACAAAGGUAGCGAACGCCAACGCCAUCAAGAACACGACCGCGCCGAGGACGAAGAAGAGGAUGCGGAGGCCACGAGCGAGUCCACCCGAUCCAGACCGGCAGGUGCUGACGUUGACGUACGCCUUGGAGGCGCAAAGGCCGGGGUUCGAUACGAAGCUUUGGUCGUAAGCCCGAAUCUGCAGCGCCGCCGGAAUCUCGCCGGUGAGCUGGUUGGACGAAAGGUUUAAAUAGUUGAACUUCAAGUUUCCCAUCUCCGACGGGAUUGGGCCGGAGAGAUGGUUCGCCGACAGGUCGAGAGUAGUCAGUACCGGCAGCGACCCGAUCGAUGCCGGAAUCUCGCCGGUCAGCCGGUUAUGCCGCAGAUCGAGAUCAUUUAGCGACUUCAGCAACGAUAUAUCAUCCGGAAUUUUUCCGGUGAUCAUAUUGCCUCCCAGAACCAGAGUCUGGAGGCUUAAGAGUCCGGCUAGGCUCGAUGGGAGCUCGCCGGAGAACAUAUUGUUGCUCCCCAAUAACACUUGUAAGCGAUCAGCUGAGGACGGAAAGCUUCCGUUGAAACGAUUGUUUUCGAUUUCCAAUCGUGUCAGAUUCCACGGGAGCUUUUCCGGAAGCGUGCCGGAGAGGGUGUUGUUACUCACCAUCACGGUCGUCAAAUUCAUGGCGGACCAAAUCCCAUCGGGCAGCUCACCGGAGAACCGGUUGUUGUGGAUCUGGAAAUUGUUGAGCUUCGAACACUUUCCGAGCGACGGCGGUAUCGUUCCCGUGAGGUUGUUGUUGAAGACCACGAUGGAAUUGAAGGCGCCACGGUCGCAUAGCCCGUCCGGUAACUCGCCGGAGAUCUUGUUGUCGUCGACCUCAAUGUCUAUCAAAAGAGAGUUCUUGCCCAAUUCUGGCGGUAAGACGCCGGUUAAGCCGUUGCUAAAUAGUCGGAGAGUGGACAAAGACGGAAGCUUGCCGAUGCUCGCCGGUAUCUCGCCGGAUAACCUGUUGUAGUACAAGUAGAGAAGAGAGAGGUUUUUGAGCUUGCCGAAGUCGUCUGGGAUCGAUCCAGUGAGCUGAUUCAUCGAAAGAUCUAUCUCUACCAGGCCCAGAGCUCCGAUCGUCCCGUCGAUGACGAUGGAACCGGAUAAGUUGUUCUUGUACAGGUACAAGUAUUGCAGAUUCGGUAGGCCCCAGAUUCCGGCUGGAAUCGCUCCGGUGAGCGAGUUUUGCGUCAAGUCCAACUGAGUCAACCCUGUGAGCUGCGCGAACGAGGCCGGUAUCUCGCCUUGGAGAUUCGCUUUGGCCAUCCACAGGAAGGUCAGCUUAGUCAAUUUGGCGAACUCCGAUGGAAUCCUCAUCGGAGCAAAGGAGUUGUAUGCCAGUCCAAGCUGUUGGAGGCGCGACAG
rnacentral:lncRNA from 1 species